rnacentral:rRNA from 1 species
GACGAACGCUGGCGGCGUGCUUAACACAUGCAAGUCGAACGGAAAGGCCCUGCUUUUGUGGGGUGCUCGAGUGGCGAACGGGUGAGUAACACGUGAGUAACCUGCCCUUGACUUUGGGAUAACUUCAGGAAACUUGGGCUAAUACCGGAUAGGAGCUCCUGCUGCGUGGUGGGGGUUGGAAAGCUUCGGCGGUUGGGGAUGGACUCGCGGCUUAUCAGCUUGUUGGUGGGGUAGUGGCUUACCAAGGCUUUGACGGGUAGCCGGCCUGAGAGGGUGACCGGCCACAUUGGGACUGAGAUACGGCCCAGACUCCUACGGGAGGCAGCAGUGGGGAAUAUUGCACAAUGGGCGGAAGAAUGAUGCAGCAACGCCGCGUGCGGGAUGACGGCCUUCGGGUUGUAAACCGCUUUCGCCUGUGACGAAGCGUGAGUGAAGGUAAUGGGUAAAGAAGCACCGGCUAACUAAGUG